AUUGAACGCUGGCGGCAGGCCUAACACAUGCAAGUCGAACGAGUGGCGGACGGGUGAGUAAUGUCUGGGAAACUGCCUGAUGGAGGGGGGUAACUACUGGAAACGGUCGCUAAUCCCGCAUCACCUCAGGUGUGCCCAUAUGGGAUUAGCUAGUUGGUGGGGUAACGGCUCACCAAGGCGACGAUCCCUCGCUGGUCUGAGAGGAUGACCAGCCACACUGGAACUGAGACACGGUCCAGACUCCUACGGGAGGCAGCAGUGGGGAAUAUUGCACAAUGGGCGCAAGCCUGAUGCAGCCAUGCCGCGUGUAUGAAGAAGGCCUUCGGGUUGUAAAGUACUUUCAGCGGGGAGGCGUUACCCGCAGAAGAAGCACCGGCUAACUCCGUGCCAGCAGCCGCGGUAAUUC
rnacentral:rRNA from 1 species